rnacentral:SRP_RNA from 15 species
AGGCUGUAAUGGCUUUUAGUGGAACCAAGUAUUUUGGGAUAUUUGGCCUGGGAACGAAACUUCCUUACGGUCAGACAUGGAUUGCACGUUUCGUCUUUGGCGGAACAAGGGGUUUUGCCAAGUUUUGGUAGGGUUCUGCGCCAUGCCCUGUUGCUUCAACCGUCUUCCUGAACCCGCCUGUUAGGGCUUGUCUCGGCUGGUGUAGUUUUCUGUGCCAGUUGGAGGGUUUAGGGCUCUGAGUUAACGUGUCCCGGUUUAACAAUCAAUCGAUCUUCGCGGGUUGCUCGUUGGCAGACAGCGCGAGAAAUCCGUUGUUUCUGUCCGAUGCGGCAAUGUAAUCUGGUCAUGUGACCUCGCCUUGACCGCCAUUAGGGGAGAUUCAUCCAGCGAUGGCAAAGGCGACCCGUGAGAGAGGCGACUGGGAUGGCACUGUUCUUAGGGUUAACAAGUACAAGUUCGGUUUAUUAUGGACGGUGGAGUCUGGUAUUUCCUACCACAUGUUGGGUGUAAACUACUCUUAGGAACCACUAACU